GGCUCCGGGCUCUCUUUAGGCCUGGGAAGAGCUGCCAGCUUCAGGGCGAGUCUGAGCAACAGAGUUCCUCAAGUGCACAGCCACUGGCUUGGUCCGGGGACCCAGCACCUCUCAGAUCUGCCCUGGCCCUGGCUUGGCUGACUUCCACGUGGCUUGUGUGGAUGGAGGGUCCAGGCAGCCCCCCAAACCAGGUCCUCAGGGAGGGGGACGGGCACUGGCCACUUUAGCUUCUUUGUGACAUGCCUGCGCCUCCACAUGCUCAGUGUAAGCUCCUGUCCACUGGAAACAACACGGCAAGCUGUCACUCGGGAGACAGAUCAGGGCUGGCAGGAGGCUCACUCAGCACAGAUGGCCCUGCACACCCACCCCGGGCAGCCCGGGAGGAAGAACUGAGAUCAGGACCCGGGGACCAGGUCUUCCCAAGGGACCAGCAGAUGCCGGCCUUGUGUCCUGGUGCCCACUCACCUAAACUGCCGGACUCCCUCUGCCCUUUUUCUCUUUCCAUUAGAUUUGUAUUUCUAGGAUCCACAGCACUUUUCUCAAAAGUGAACUUUAAAAUUCUUUAAAGCUUUAUUUCUUUUUAAUGGUGUCCAAUAUGUUGACAGGAAACACGGGCAUGUUGUUAACUAAGUGGGGUCCAGUGUGGUACACGAGUCACCUGACACGCCGUGUGUGUGUCCAUUGCUGAGCACCCCGAAAAUCACUCUUAGCCCUUUUCAGGAACGUGGCGUGCUGCUUCUCACUAGCGCCAGGGUGGGUAAGGGGGCUCCGGAAGCCCCUGCUGUCCUCACCCAGCAUCUCAUCCUCCCAGCACCCUCCUCCCAGAAGGGCCCAGCUCUGGAGUUCCACUUCUCAGGACUUCGAGGAUACAAGUUCGAGUCCAGCCACUGUGCGCUGUGUCCAGCCGGGCAAUGAGAUUUCGUUCUCUGUGUGUCCCAGGACAAAGACCCCCAGGACGUCACUGCCUGUCCCGUCCUGCUUGGAGGUGAAUAGCAGUUCUGCUGCGAGAGCUUUUGAGGAACCUGCACACUGUUUUCCAGCGGCUGGACUAACCACUCUACCACCAGUGCCCAAGUCCUCACAAAGGGAGACUGCCCAGGGCCAAGGGCAGGGACUUCGCUCCUGAACUGGACCAGUCGCUUUGUUUCCUAUCUGCCCUGACGCAGGACCAGGCACCAGGACUGGAAGCCAGAUGCCCCUGGGUCAGAGUCACCAGCUCCACCCUGUUCUGUCCGCACACCCAGGGCUGGAGGAAAUCUCGCCAACACCCAGGGCUCUCGAGGCCGGGGGUCCCCCAGACGCUGGCCUUGUGUCCUGGUGCCCACUCAGCAGCAUGCCCUGUGGGAGAGUCACUCAACACUGCGCUGCAGUUCCGCACUGCAGCCGGGCCACGUCUUGUACAAUUGUGAAGGGGACAGGAAGUGAGGACAGUGGAGCUGUGACUGUCACUGACGGCCAGGAGCCUCUGGGUGCCCUACUCACCUGGGACACUGAGCGGUGGCCUGGCCCCUCCUGAGGCUCUGGGGCUAGGGAUGGCUUUGGGAACCAGAGCAGGGGUCACACGGGCCCCGGGGGAUCUCAAGAGGCUCUCCUGGGCCAGGACUGGAGCAGAGGGUGGGCCACAUCCUCAGCCUCAUGUCGGUGUCCAUGAGCCCACUCAAGACGCCAUCUGGGAAAGCGGAUGUGCUUGGGACAGACUCAUGGGCGGCUGUCAGAACUGCGCUAUCCCGGCAGCCCCCUCAAAAGCCACAGCUGAACUAAAAGCCACUUCCCGAGUUGCUUUCUGCACUGGUCCUGGAAAGGCCACCCCCAAAUCCCCAGCGGGAGCCAAGACACGCCGUGCCUGAGGGGGGCUCUUGAGGCACCAGUGGCUGCUGGAGCCCCCAGUGCUCCACGAUGGCCCCAGCCUCCCAAGCUCAGCUCCGCAUCCCCAGUCCAAGCGUGUGCUCCCCCAGACCAGGCUGCUGUGUUCUCUGGACCUGGACCUCGGCCUGGGCCAGUGGCAGCUGCUGCAGAGCAGCUCCACCCACAGGGACCUCGGGACUCAGAGCUGAGGCCCAGGGACAGUGCCGGGCUCUGACGGCCCAGGUCACCCUCAGAUUUCCCAACUGCAGCUGAAGAAGGAGCCAGGUAGAAGCUUCUCCUGUUUUCCUAGGGAGCCACCUUGGAUAGCACUUCCUCACAGAAGGCCUGCUGAGACACCUCCGUGACCAUGGGGAACCCAUAAAAAGGCAGCAGGAUGCCACUUUGUAUCCAUCCCCGACCCGGGUCAGCUGCACCCUGCCUGGUGCAGGUAGGAAGUCGAGCCUGCUGUUCUGUGAGCAGAGCCCAGACGUGCGCCAGGCAGUGGUGUCGUCCUGCCCAGGUGUCCUUGUAUGGACCACAAUCCCCACCCCCAGGCCCCCAGCCAUAGGUCCACAGCUGCCCCGGAUUGACUGCAAGGCGGCAGUCCCUCCUCUCUGCUUUCAUUCUGCACACAUCACUCCGGAGUGCUGUUGUUUGCUUCACUUCUGUCUGCAGAGCCCGAGUGAAUCAGACCUCACGCCAGCCUCAGCCAAGCUGCGUCCUUGGAGCCAGGGCAGCGACAUCCCCUAUCCCAAAACGUGAAAUCAAGGCAGGAGUUGGAUGCACACCUGUGAUCCCAGCACUCGGAGGCUGAGACAGGAGGAUCACCAUGAGUUCAGGGCCAUCCCGGGCUACACAGUGAGUCCAAGGCCAGCCUGAACUGCACAGCGAGACCCUGUCUCAAACAAACAAACAACCAAAUAGGGCCGGGGAUUUGGCUCAGUGGUUCCACCACUUGUCCCGAAAGGACCCGAGUUCAAUCCUGGUACAAAAAACAAAACCAAACCAAACAAACAAAAACCAAAUAGCUGAAAUCCAAAAAGCUCCAAAACUGAAAAGCUCUGGGCACCGCCUGAUGCCAUACAGAGCUCCACCCUCCCUCAGGGGCAGGUGGCAUCAGAAUGUGGCACUAAAUGAUGAAUAACUGACCUUCAGGCUGUGAGCAUCAGGUAUGUCUGAAACACAAGAGACUGUUUCGGGGUCCCAGCCCCAGCACGUCCCAUCUCAUUUCCAACAUCUGGAAGCCUCUGGACUGCCGCUCUGUUCGCAGGCACUUCAGAGAAGGGACGUGGGCCCUGUGUGCAGAGAGAACACAGGAGGAAGGGAGAGCCCAGCAGGGACGAAACCAUGCAGGCGACGGCAGCGGACAGCACUUCCUGCACCCCACAUGGGAGGACUUCGAGGCCAGGGCGAAUGCCACGCCAGAGUCCGUGGGACCCAAGCAUCUGCAGGUGUUGGGCUUCCAGGGUCCAGGUCCUCUGGGAAGGGCGGGCUGCAGCUGCCUCCCCACUUGUUAGUGUCUGCGAGGAGCCCCAGGUGGCCUUGCCUUCUUGAUUCCAGCUCGUGAUGAGGACACGUGGAUCGGAUCGAGGUGACUCAGACCACUCUGGGCGGGCAGCACUCAUGCCCUUAAUCCUAGUGCCCUCGGGCCCCAGCCCCACGGAGCAUCAAUCACACACUGCAGAUCCAGCCACCUCCGAAAUAGCCCGAGACCACAUGAGGCUUUGGGGGACUCGAGACACAGCCGUCACAGGUGGAAUGCUUUGCUGCCUUCAGUCGGAGAACAGUGCCUUCCGUCGUGAAAUCACAUCAUGAAAUGAUUUUGCUGUGGGGAAGACAGAAUCAGGCGAGUGCUCGAACCACAGGCCUCCCUCAGACGCAGAGCGGUGUAGCUGGGCCUCCUCACCCCGGGGAGCUGCAGAAGAACUCAGUCUGCUCUUCUCCUAUUGGUGUGGAAUGGGACUGUCUGGGCCACAGGUUGCCUGGCUGGGCCAGGUCUCUUUACUGCUCACUUGUGUUUGUUUGAAGUAGGGUCUCGCUAUGUAGCCCGGGCUGGCCGAGGACUCGAGCAAUCCUCUGGCCUCAGCCUCAGGGCUGGCACCACAGUCGUGGCCCUGGGGUCUCCUUCCUGGGCACAUCCUCUCUAACCCACCCUCGGGCUGGGCUUCCGCUCUCAGCUGUGUGCUGCGUGUGGUCUUUUCACUCCAGAGAUGGGCCGUGACUUUAGGCACCGUGGAGAAAGAAACAGGCUGCCCGUGGAUCCUUGGUGUCACGGUGCAAACACCCUGAGAUGUUCACAGUGAAAAACAGAACCUGAAAUCCGUGCAGAGGCUGCACAAAAUACAAAUAGGACACUACAUGGUUUCGCUUCGCUUUUCUUGUUAAUGCUGCAUCCUGAACAGCGUUUGUGUCGCUCUUUGUUCCCUAAAUCUGCCGGCCACCAGGUCGGGCACAGAUCCGCGUUUGCCUCUCCGAGCUCCCAUGAGCACCUGCAAGUCCAUGCCGGCUGGGUGAGACAACUCCACUUGCCGUCAUGUGGACAUGACUCAGUUCUUUCCGGGCACGCGUUUAGCUACAGUAAACGUCUUCGUUUACAUUUAAUGCUAUUGCUCUUUUAUUCUAACGUGAAAAAAUGUGCAUACUGAGAAAUAAACCAACCCACAGCACCA
ensembl:lncRNA